rnacentral:rRNA from 1 species
UACGUUCCCGGGCCUUGUACACACCGCCCGUCAAGCCAUGGAAGUUGGGAGGACCUGAAGACAGUUGCUGUAAGGCGCUGUUUAGGGUUAAACCGAUGACUGGGGCU